rnacentral:rRNA from 1 species
UACGUAGGGGGCAAGCGUUGUCCGGAAUCAUUGGGCGUAAAGAGCGUGUAGGCGGCCUGGUAAGUCCGCUGUGAAAGUCCAGGGCUCAACCCUGGAAUGCCGGUGGAAACUGUCAGGCUCGAGUCCGGAAGAGGCGAGUGGAAUUCCUGGUGUAGCGGUGAAAUGCGCAGAUAUCAGGAGGAACACCAAUGGCGAAGGCGGCUCUCUAGUACGGUACUGACGCUGAGACGCGAAAGCGUGGGGAGCGAACAGG